UAGUAACGGCGAGUGAAGCGGGAUGAGCUCAAAUUUAAAAUCUGGCUGGUUUACUAGUCCGAAUUGUAGUUUAAAGAAGCGUUUUCGGUGGCAGCCUGGGUAUAAAUCCUUUGGAACAGGGUAUCAUAGAGGGUGAGAAUCCCGUCUUUGACUCAGUGCAUGCUACUAUGUGAUACGUUUUCAAAGAGUCGAGUUGUUUGGGAAUGCAGCUCAAAAUGGGUGGUAAAUUUCAUCUAAGGCUAAAUAUUGGCGAGAGACCGAUAGCGAACAAGUACCGUGAGGGAAAGAUGAAAAGAACUUUGAAAAGAGAGUUAAACAGUGCGUGAAAUUGUUGAAAGGGAAACGCUUGACACCAGUCAUGCGAGCGGAAAAUCAGUCUUUUGCAGUGGGGAGUUGUGUGGGUUCGGACCGCAAGGCCGGCCUGCGCUGCAUCUCUGCUGUAAGUGAUGCACUUUUUCGUUUGCAGGCCAACAUCAGUUUCUUCUGCUGGACAAAACUCUUGAGAAGGUAGCAGCUUUGGCUGUGUUAUAGCUCUUGAGCGAUACAGUGGAGGGGACUGAGGUUUUCGCAGCGCGUGCUCUCGGGCAAGGCUGAUUGGGUGCUAUGGGAUCGUUCGGUGUACAAUGCAUGCAUUUUGCGCCGUGUCUUUUCUAUACUCGCUCAACUCGGCUCUUCCGCGCUUAGGAUGUUGGCUUAAUGGUUUUAAUCGACCCGUCUUGAAACACGGACCAAGGAGUCUAACAUAUAUGCAAGUGUUUGGGUGGCAAACCCAUGCGCGUAAUGAAAGUGAACGUAGGUGCGAUCCGCAAGGUGCAGCAUCGACCGAUCUUGAUAUUUUUGGAUAGAUUUGAGUAAGAGCAUAUAUGCUGGGACCCGAAAGAUGGUGAACUAUGCCUGAAUAGGGUGAAGCCAGAGGAAACUCUGGUGGAGGCUCGUAGCGAUUCUGACGUGCAAAUCGAUCGUCAAAUUUGGGUAUAGGGGCGAAAGACUAAUCGAA
rnacentral:rRNA from 1 species